CUAACUGCAGAAUUAUUCAGAUCCGAUUAUCCUGUAUACAUGCCUGUGGAGAACUGUCUGGACUGUUAGUUGAUAUAGAAAAUCCCAGUUCGUCAUGAGAUGUACCAUACCUGGACAGGUUGAAAUCGUUUGAUGUCUGAACAUCUCGUUGGCGUAUUUUUUUAAUGCUGGAAAUUUUACCCAGGGUGUCACCAGUGAUAGACAUUCAAGUAUCUCAUAAAAGAAAACAAGACAGAAAGAAUCCACACAAGAGACAGACUAAGCAAAAAGAAAGGAAAGUGGUAGUUCACCUCAAAGGGAAAUGAUUGCAGCAGGCUUAUCCAAAGGACGAGAGGUGACAACCCCACUGGAUUCUGUUUUGUACAUUUUAAAGAAGUUUUUAUGAAUAUUUAUGAGAUCUUAUAGUGGCUACCAAGAGAAACUAAUAAGGAAAAGCAGGUAGGCUGACCAGCUCACCUACCACCCAGGCCAAGAUCCAGAUCCAGAGCUAUGAGUUAGCCUAUCCCAAAGUCUAUGUCAUCUGAGAAUGGUUGGGACCAGUCUUGGUUGAUCCAAAGCUUCAUGAUCUCCAUGACACAGGGCAACAACAGGUUAACUGGGAAGAGGCCCCAUGAGGAUUCAAUAUUGAUGGUGUCACAGAAGUCAGCGAUCUCCAACCAGAGCUCAAACUCAUUGCAAUAAAUAUUUGUAACUAAAGAUGUGAUGUA